rnacentral:lncRNA from 1 species
UAUGGAAGUAUUCUUGCUCGAUCGUCUAUUUGGGAAUGCGACUCUCGCGCAGGGGGCAAAUGUGGGCCCAUGUGCAAAAUUAGGGUUCACAUGACCUAAUUGAAUUAAAUGCACAAUUAGGGUUCCACGGCCUCAUUAAAUGUGCAAAUUGGGGUUCGCAUAACCAAAUUUAAUAAAGACGAAAAAGUCAGAAAUAAAUGUGCUAGACCCGGGAGAAGCCUCCACGCGUCCCGAGGCAGAAGACUCGUGGAGGCGGCUCGUUUUAGGAAUUGAUUGAGGGAUUGGAUUGGUGGCUAGAAGGACAGGGCAAUAUGGGCAUUAUUCUAAUGACUAAAGGGUAUUUCCGGAAAUUCCCUGAAGGCAUGUGCCUUGCACAUGACUACUUUCCAGAAAACCCUAUAAAUACCCCUUCCAUUCUAUUGAGAAGGGGACCUCUCUCCGAACACAAGACUCAGACUCUUUUGGUGACUUAAGGCUUGGAUAUUCCACCUAAAAGCACUAAAGGGUUUGGGACACUCGCUCUCAACUGAGAGGACUCUUUUGGUAGCUCAAGGUUUGGAUAUUCCACCUAAAAGCACCAACAAGAUUUGAACACUCUCAACUCGAAGAACUUUUGAAGAAGGCUCUUGGAAUUUCAAUAACCCUAACACGGUUUCCGGAUUCUAGGGGUUCUGCCACGCGUCGUUGGAGUAAUCGUCCACCUGUCGUUCUCCCCUCUACAAUCAAUCAAUCAAUUCCGUAUUCUUCGUGGAUUUCUCUCCUCCUCAGUCAACACGAAACCUUAGACAAGCAAGGCGCGAUUUCCUUGCCCACAUGGGGGAAAGGUACAUCAUGCAGUGUUGGAGUUGUUGCUGCGGCUGGAUCUGCUGACUGCACUGUGAGCCGCCCAUUUCAUCCUCGAUUAUGGUGGUGGUGAUGGUGGUUGUGUAGAUGGUGGCCGAGGCCAGAGCGAAAAGGCCUACAAGGAAAGCAGCUAGGGUUAUUGUAAGCUUUGCCAUUUUGAUUGUAUAUAUAUUGGAAAUUUGUUUAUGGUUUUUUGAGCUUGAGAUAAUUGAUGGAUAUAAG